UGAGGAAUAUUGGUCAAUGGGCGAGAGCCUGAACCAGCCAAGUAGCGUGCAGGAUGACGGCCCUAUGGGUUGUAAACUGCUUUUAUAUGGGAAUAAAGUGAGGGACGUGUCCCUUAUUGCAUGUACCAUACGAAUAAGAACCGGCUAAUUCCGUGCCAGCAGCCGCGGUAAUACGGAAGGUCCAGGCGUUAUCCGGAUUUAUUGGGUUUAAAGGGAGCGUAGGCUGUUUGUUAAGCGUGUUGUGAAAUGUAGGAGCUCAACUUUUAGAUUGCAGCGCGAACUGGCAGACUUGAGUGCGCACAACGUAGGCGGAAUUCAUGGUGUAGCGGUGAAAUGCUUAGAUAUCAUGACGAACUCCGAUUGCGAAGGCAGCUUACGGGAGCGCAACUGACGCUAAAGCUCGAAGGUGCGGGUAUCGAACAGG
rnacentral:rRNA from 1 species